CAAGUGAGCCGGGUGAUCGCGGCGCGUCUUCGGGCGCGUCGAGGAAAGUCCGCUCUCCACAGAGCACGGCGCCGGGUAACGCCCGGAGCGGGGCAACCUGCUGGAAGAGGGCCACAGAGAAGCGUAGUGCCUGGAUUGCUGAUUGAUGAUUUCUGAAUGAUGAUUGUUCGCCUAAAGCGGCAAUCAGAAAUCAACAAUCAAAAAUCAGCAAUCCAGGUGAGGGUGAAACGGUGGUGUAAGAGACCACCGGCGCUCGCGGCAACGCGAGCGGCCAGGCAACCCCCGCCGGGAGCAAGAUCGAGCAGAGGCGAGCUGUUGCUCGCAGCGUUUGAGCCUCGGGUAGACCGCACGAGCCGGGCAGUAAUGUCCGGCCCAGAGAGAUGAUCGCCGCCUCGCAAGAGGCACAGAAAGCGGCUUACAGGCUCACUUGAACA
rnacentral:RNase_P_RNA from 1 species